AUUGAACGCUGGCGGCAGGCCUAAUACAUGCAAGACGAACGGUAAGUUGAGUAGCAAUACUUGACCUAGAGUGUCGCACGGGUGCGUAACACGUAUGCAACCUACCCAUAACAGGAGGAUAGCUCCCCGAAAGGGGAAUUAACCCUCCAUAGUAUAAUUGGAUGGCAUCAUUUGAUUAUUAAAACUGAGGUGGUUAUGGAUGGGCAUGCGUCUGAUUAGUUAGUUGGCGGGGUAACGGCCCACCAAGACGAUGAUCAGUAGGGGAACUGAGAGGUUGAUCCCCCACACUGACACUGAGAUACGGGCCAGACUCCUACGGGAGGCAGCAGUAGGGAAUAUUGGUCAAUGGAUGGAAGUCUGAACCAGCCAUGCCGCGUGCAGGAAGAAGGCCUUAUGGGUUGUAAACUGCUUUUGCCAGGGGAUAAAAUAGCUGUGCGCAGCGAAUUGCAGGUACCUGGUGAAUAAGCCACGGCUAACUACGUGCCAGCCGCCGCCGUAAAAC
rnacentral:rRNA from 1 species